rnacentral:rRNA from 1 species
GAUGAACGCUGGCGGCGUGCCUAAUACAUGCAAGUCGAGCGAACGGACGAGAAGCUUGCUUUUCUGAUGUUAGCGGCGGACGGGUGAGUAACACGUGGAUAACCUACCUCUCAGACUGGGAUAACUUCGGGAAACCGGAUCUAAUACCGGAUAAUAUUUUGAACCGCAUGGUUCAAAAGUGAAAGACGGUCUUGCUGUCACUUAUAGAUGGAUCCGCGCUGCAUUAGCUAGUUGGUAAGGUAACGGCUUACCAAGGCAACGAUGCAUAGCCGACCUGAGAGGGUGAUCGGCCACACUGGAACUGAGACACGGUCCAGACUCCUACGGGAGGCAGCAGUAGGGAAUCUUCCGCAAUGGGCGAAAGCCUGACGGAGCAACGCCGCGUGAGUGAUGAAGGUCUUCGGAUCGUAAAACUCUGUUAUUAGGGAAGAACAUAUGUGUAAGUAACUGUGCACAUCUUGACGGUACCUAAUCAGAAAGCCACGGCUAACUACGUG